rnacentral:misc_RNA from 1 species
CUAUUUAUUAAUGUCUUUGACCCUUAUAUAGAUCUUGUAAGUGGCUGGUCCAUGUUCCCUUACUUAUCUAACUGGUAUAAGUUCACUUGUUUGCCUGACCAAUGUGCCAGUUUCAUUCCGAAUCUGUUUGUUUCAUUGUAUGACUCAUCUGUUCGCGUUGUUAGUUACUUGAUAUAAGCAUGUAUUUUCUUUUCGCAUUGCUUCUUAACUUCCUCGCAGAACUAUGGAGUUUUAUUUUCCACUGAGGGGUCGGCCUUUGUGUAACUGCUCCAAGAGCUCCUAUCGCCGCAGCUUUUAUGUUUGUUUUCAAUUUACUGCGAAUGAUAUUGACAUCAUAUAGAUGAACCAGUCUGGUGCAUUUCAAAUUUCGCUUCUAGGAGUUUUUUGUAUAAUUCUCGGAUGGUUGAAUCCCAGAGGUCAACCUUAAUUAUUUCUCUUGUUUUCUCUGGGUGUUUACGUUUUGUCUUGGGGCCACACUUGAAUCAUCCUGAAUUUGUCAAGCAGUAACCCAUGGUCACUCCUAAUAUCGGGCGAUUCGAUUAGAUUUGCGAAAAUAUUUGCGUUUGUUCAUGAAGUUAACUUGGAUAUAAAAUAUCUCAUACUAGCCGAUUGCAUGGUGAACUCUAUAAUUAUUGCGUUCCUAAUAGUUCAGGUUUUAUUUGUGACGACAUCCCUUUCAUCGUUGAUGUUUUACGUUGCGGUCAGCUGCACUGUAUUGUCACAAAUCUUCAUUAUAUCUUGGUUCGCUAAUGAAAUUGAAGUAAUGAGCACCUCGAUCUCUGACGCAUUAUUCGAAAGUCAUUGGUGGGAACAAACUGAAAAAGUGAAGCGAGUAAUCAGCAUCAUUAUGAUGCGUUCGAGAAAGCCUUUACGUAUUAUGAUUGGGCCAUUCUAUCCGCUUACCAUACAAACUGCUUUAAAUGAAAACCACUAGUGUAAAACGCAAAAUUGGAGGAAAGAUGCACAUUUUUUAGUUUCCAGACCAAAUCUGCUCUCUCCCAAUUAAAGUUUUUGGACUUAUUGAAUGUUCGUCAAAAUCUUCUGGUCACAACGAAGAUAACUGAAGAAAAACGUCCAGAACUGGCUAAGGCGAGCGAAUGGUCGCCUAAAAUAUGAAUCGAAAGCUAAAAACGGAUGUUUUGUUUAUAAUUUAACUUUUGGUUAUUUAAUUUUUAAGUUUUUAAUAUCUGUGUGGUUAAAUGCACCUGAUUUUGUGCAAAAAAGUGAA